UCAACAUAAAAAGAAGACCACAAUGUAAACAAACGAAACGUCAACGGCUUCACCAAGUUGGCAACUUACCUGGCGUAGCCUAGUUGUCACCUGCCUACUACUCUGUUUUACUGAUGUAUCAAGAAGCUCUUCGCGACUCAGUUAUCAAAUUUAUUAUGCAGAAUAGUAACGCCAAUUGUUUUUCUUCGACCGAGUGUACGUGAAGUUGUUAACAGGCUAGCCUACAUGAGGAACUGAUGUUUGGACUUGAGUAUUUAUUACAUUCAAAUUGGGAUGAUGCAACAAGAUGGAUGGCAAAACACCAUUGUCAGCGGAAAUUCGACAACAUUUUUCAAGAUCUCUGAAGUUCACAUUUCUUUACUACACACACUGACUGCUGUUGGCCUCUUCUCUUUCUUGCAUACCUUCAAUAUCAAUUUACAUUCUAAUGACAAUGUCUUUACUGUUACACACCAUUUCCUUUUAUUCCUGACUCAGUGCUGUUCUCCAGUAGUCUCAUUUCAUAGCUGUAACUUAAAUAUUCCUCCUAAAACUAAGGCUCUUUUAUCCGCAUCACCUUUAAAGAUAUCAGAUUUCACAUCUCCCCUAACAAUUUCCAACUUGGGCUUCUCUCAUGCUACUUAUUUAAAGUUAAUUCCUUCCAAACAAAAUUCCACGGUUGUAUCCCAAUAUAUAUUUGCUCAAAAGCCAACUUGCCACAAAAGAGAGACCAACCUUGUUCACGAAUCCACAGAAUUUGCUACAUCUUCAUCUUUAGCAAUACCAAUUAAUGCUUCAGUUCCUGCUAAAUGUGAUAUUACUCUUGCAACUCAGACAUUAGAACCUAAGGUUGAGGAAAUAUAUCACUAUUAUACUCAUACUGCAUUUUCCAGUGUUAGCCAUACAAAAUAUCUCAAAAACUCAAAUUUACUGUCACCAAGUUUUACUUAUACUCUUUACCCACAGACAGUUUUUCCACAAACAAAAUGUAAUCAAUGUGAAUUUAAGAAUGAUUGCACAGUUCCAGAUUGAGAGCAUAAAUGCUUCGUAGAAGUGAACGCAAGGCAGGUUCAUAUUAUAGUGUACUUCAGUUAUCAGGGUUUCCAAGGAAGGUUCGAAUUUUGACAGUUCUCCAUUAUUAAGACCAUUCUUCCCAUUGUUUUCUUCUUACAUGAAAGGAAGAAGAACAAGGAUCUACAGUGAAAAUGGUUGCUUGAAAGAAAAUAAGGUUACAACAUUCAAAUAUUUGUGUUGUGACAAACCUGGUUCCAGUCCCAGUUUUAACAGUAUGAAAGAUGUGCAGAGUGUUCAACACUUCCGGCAUAAUGAUACAAGCAGCAUGCCCACCAGACAACCUGUAAAUCUUAUGGAUAUCUUGCACUUGAGUUAUGAUGCACCAGGUGGACAUGAUAAUGUUCAGAAAUGUCGUAAAGUUGUCAAUCAUGAUAUAUAUGACAAGAAAGUCAUCAAUGGUACUUCAGUAAUUGAGAAAGAUAUAAUUGAAUUUAAAACUUCUCAUAUUAGAUCACAUCCACUUCUAGUAACCAAUGGUAGAUCAAAAUACAAUGUACACUGUAGAUUAUGUGAGACUCAGUCAUACCAAAGAAGCCUGGAGCAAACUCAUGCAAUAAUGCCAACAUUUACUAACUUGGAUUUCCCUGAGCCUCAAACAAGAACACAAGAUAGUGUUAAAAAAAGAUAUGAGUUAUGUGACCAAUAUAAAAUGAAAAUUGAGGGUAGCCUCACAGAUAAUUUGUAUGUCAUUAAUAAUAGUGUGUUGUCUAUAGUUCCAACAUUACCACCAGAUAUUUUUCCAGAGCCCAGUACAAAGUAUUCUGUGCAAAGCACACAAAUUCCUUACAUAUAUAGUUAUGAGGUGACAAUUGAUCACACCAUUUAUUAUAAACAUACUUGGACAAAAGAAAAAAUACCAAAAAGUGCAUUCCCAUUGUUGACUUCACAAGCAGCAACUUUGUUAUCAGGUUUAAGUAGUUCAUUAGACACCCACGUACAAAAAUCUCUCCACUUGGAAAGCAGUUUCAGAAGUCUGCCAGAUGUUACUGUGAGAAGUACAGAGCUGAAUUCAGUUAUGACUCCUCAUUUCCCAGACAAUAUAGGUUAAUUUACUGCAUUAUAAUGCCAUAUAGUAUCUAGUCACUAAUUUUUAUAUUUUUGUACAUCAUUUUCAGAUUAGCAUGCACUUAUUUUAGACAGUAAAAUGCAGUUACAAUACUUAUAGGGAUAAUGUGUUUUCCUGGAGCAAAAUUUAUGUUAUUUAUUUUUGUAUUGUAUGACAAAUGUUUUAGGUUCAAUAUUGCAGUAAAUUUGAUUUUUCUAAACCUGGAAGAUACAAACAGCAGUUUAAUGUUUUUUUGGAAUGUAUAAGUCCAGUUGUAACCUGUCCUUUAAACUGAAACAAAAGAUUACUUGAUACA